rnacentral:rRNA from 1 species
GAGUUUGAUCCUGGCUCAGGAUGAACGCUGGCGGCGUGCUUAACACAUGCAAGUCGAACGAUGAUCCCUGGCUUGCCGGGGGGAUUAGUGGCGAACGGGUGAGUAACACGUGAGUAACCUGCCCUUGACUCUGGGAUAAGCCUGGGAAACUGGGUCUAAUACCGGAUACGACCGCUCCACGCAUGUGGUGGUGGUGGAAAGCUUUUGCGGUUUUGGAUGGACUCGCGGCCUAUCAGCUUGUUGGUGGGGUAAUGGCCUACCAAGGCGACGACGGGUAGCCGGCCUGAGAGGGUGACCGGCCACACUGGGACUGAGACACGGCCCAGACUCCUACGGGAGGCAGCAGUGGGGAAUAUUGCACAAUGGGCGCAAGCCUGAUGCAGCGACGCCGCGUGAGGGAUGACGGCCUUCGGGUUGUAAACCUCUUUCAGUAGGGAAGAAGCGAAAGUGACGGUACCUGCAGAAGAAGCGCCGGCUAACUACGUGCCAGCAGCCGCGGUAAUACGUAGGGCGCAAGCGUUAUCCGGAAUUAUUGGGCGUAAAGAGCUCGUAGGCGGUUUGUCGCGUCUGCUGUGAAAGACCGGGGCUCAACUCCGGUUCUGCAGUGGGUACGGGCAGACUAGAGUGAUGUAGGGGAGACUGGAAUUCCUGGUGUAGCGGUGAAAUGCGCAGAUAUCAGGAGGAACACCGAUGGCGAAGGCAGGUCUCUGGGCAUUAACUGACGCUGAGGAGCGAAAGCAUGGGGAGCGAACAGGAUUAGAUACCCUGGUAGUCCAUGCCGUAAACGUUGGGCACUAGGUGUGGGGGACAUUCCACGUUUUCCGCGCCGUAGCUAACGCAUUAAGUGCCCCGCCUGGGGAGUACGGCCGCAAGGCUAAAACUCAAAGGAAUUGACGGGGGCCCGCACAAGCGGCGGAGCAUGCGGAUUAAUUCGAUGCAACGCGAAGAACCUUACCAAGGCUUGACAUGGACCGGUAACGCCUGGAAACAGGUGCCCCGCUUGCGGUCGGUUUACAGGUGGUGCAUGGUUGUCGUCAGCUCGUGUCGUGAGAUGUUGGGUUAAGUCCCGCAACGAGCGCAACCCUCGUUCUAUGUUGCCAGCGCGUGAUGGCGGGGACUCAUAGGAGACUGCCGGGGUCAACUCGGAGA